UUAGAAUAUGUAGUGUAGCGGUGAAAUGCAUAGAUAUUACAUAGAACACCAAUUGCGAAGGCAGCUUACUAAGUACUAACUGACGCUGAUGGACGAAAGCGUGGGUAGCGAACAGGAUUAGAUACCCUGGUAGUCCACGCCCUAAACUAUGCUUACUCGACAUUGGCGAUACACUGUCAGUGUCCAAGGGAAACCGUUAAGUAAGCCACCUGGGGAGUACGUUCGCAAGAAUGAAACUCAAAGGAAUUGACGGGGGUCCGCACAAGCGGUGGAGCAUGUGGAUUAAUUCGAUGCAACGCGAAGAACCUUACCAAG
rnacentral:rRNA from 1 species